rnacentral:tRNA from 1 species
GCCCGGGUGGUGAAAUUGGUAGACACGCCAUCUUGAGGGGGUGGUGACGAAAGUCGUGCCGGUUCGAGUCCGGCCCCGGGCACCA